rnacentral:rRNA from 1 species
CCUACGGUGGGCAGCAGUGGGGAAUAUUGGGCAAUGGGCGCAAGCCUGACCCAGCAACGCCGCGUGAAGGAAGAAGGCUCUCGGGGUGUAAACCUCUUUUCUCAGGGACGAAGAAAGUGACGGUACCUGAUGAAUAAGCCACGGCUAACUACGUGCCAGCAGCCGCGGUAAUACGUAGGUGGCAAGCGUUAUCCGGAUUUAUUGGGUUUAAGGGGCGUGUAGGCGGGAGGGUAAGUCAGAUGUGAAAACUUGGGGCUCAACCCUGAGAUUGCAUUUGAUACUGUGUGUCUUGAGUGCUGGGGAGGCAAUCGGAAUUCGGGGUGUAGCGGUGAAAUGCUUAGAUAUACGGAAGAACUCCAGUGGCGAAGGCAGAUUACUGGACAGUAACUGACGCUGAUGCGCGAAAGCGUGGGGAGCAAACAGGAUUAGAUACCCUUGUAGUC